AUCCUGGCUCAGGACGAACGCUGGCGGCGUGCUUAACACAUGCAAGUCGAACGCUGAAGCCUAGCUUGCUGGGUGGAUGAGUGGCGAACGGGUGAGUAACACGUGAGUAACCUGCCCUCUUCUUUGGGAUAACGCCCGGAAAUGGGUGCUAAUACUGGAUAUUCACUGGUCUUCGCAUGGGGGUUGGUGGAAAGGGUUUUUCUGGUGGGGGAUGGGCUCGCGGCCUAUCAGCUUGUUGGUGGGGUGAUGGCCUACCAAGGCUUUGACGGGUAGCCGGCCUGAGAGGGUGACCGGUCACAUUGGGACUGAGAUACGGCCCAGACUCCUACGGGAGGCAGCAGUGGGGAAUAUUGCACAAUGGGCGCAAGCCUGAUGCAGCGACGCCGCGUGAGGGAUGGAGGCCUUCGGGUUGUGAACCUCUUUCGCUCAUGGUCAAGCCGCAACUGUGGGUUGUGGUGAGGGUAGUGGGUAAAGAAGCGCCGGCUAACUACGUGCCAGCAGCCG
rnacentral:rRNA from 1 species